rnacentral:rRNA from 1 species
CCUACGGGUGGCAGCAGUGGGGAAUAUUGCGCAAUGGGCGCAAGCCUGACGCAGCGACGCCGCGUGAGGGAUGACGGUCUUCGGAUCGUAAACCUCUGUCAGCAGAGAAGAACGGUCACUGUGCUAAUCCGCAGUGAAUUGACGGUACCUGCAAAGGAAGCACCGGCUAACUCCGUCCCAGCAGCCGCGGUAAUACGGAGGGUGCGAGCGUUAAUCGGAAUUAGUGGGCGGAAAGGUCGCGUAGGCGGUAUGUCAAGUCAAGGGUGAAAUCCCCGCGCUCAACGUGUGAAGUGCAUUUGAUACUGGCAAACUGGAGUGUGGGAGAGGAUGGUGGAAUUCCAGGUGUAGGAGUGAAAUCCGUAGAUAUCUGGAGGAACAUCAGUGGCGAAGGCGACUAUCUGGCACGUAACUGACGCUGAGGAGCGAAAGCGUGGGUAGCAAACAGGAUUAGAUACCCGGGUAGUC